ACCGGAGGCGGGGGCGCGAGCAGGAAGUGGAGUCUCUGCCUGCCGGCUGGUGGCGAGCGUGCUGCGGCCGCCACUUUCCAACGAGCGGGCGCCGCAGCCGCAGCCGCGGGUGCCCGGGGGGAUGGAGGGCCCGGGGCUAGGCUCGCAGUGCAGGAAUCACAGUCAUGGCCCCCACCCUCCCGGAUGUGGUCGGCAUGGUGUCUGUGCACAUGAAAGCAAAGAGCUUGCCAAGGCAAGAGAAAUUCUUCCUCUUAUAGAGGACUCUAGUAACUGUGACAUUGUCAAAGCCACUCAAUACGGGAUUUUUGAACGAUGUAAAGAGUUGGUAGAGGCAGGAUAUGACGUCAGGCAACCAGACAAAGAAAAUGUGUCACUUCUUCACUGGGCUGCUAUUAACAACAGGCUGGAUCUUGUAAAGUUUUAUAUUUCAAAAGGUGCUGUUAUAGAUCAGUUAGGUGGAGAUUUAAAUUCAACUCCUCUUCACUGGGCCAUACGGCAGGGGCAUUUACCGAUGGUCAUAUUGUUACUCCAGCAUGGUGCGGACCCCACUCUCAUUGAUGGGGAGGGAUUCAGCAGCAUUCACCUGGCGGUAUUAUUUCAGCGUAUGCCUAUUAUAGCAUAUCUCAUCUCAAAGGGGCAGAGUGUGAAUAUGACAGAUGUAAAUGGGCAGACACCUCUCAUGUUAUCUGCUUCCAAAGUAAUUGGACCAGAACCAACUGGAUUUCUUUUAAAGUUUAACCCUUCUCUCAACGUUGGUGAUAAAACACACCAAAACACUCCACUCCACUGGGCAAUUACAUCAGGAAAUGUUAAUGCAGUUGAUAAACUUUUGGAAGCUGGUUCUAGCUUGGAUAUCCGAAAUGUUAAGGGAGAAACACCUCUUGAUAUGGCUCUGCACAACAAAAAUCAGCUCAUUAUUCACAUGCUAAAAACAGAAGCCAAAAUGAGAGCCAACCAAAAGUUCAAACUUUGGAGGUGGCUGCAGAAAUGCGAGCUCUUCCUGCUGCUGAUACUCUCUGUGAUUACCAUGUGGGCUGUUGGAUACAUACUGGACUUCAAUUCAGAUUCUUGGCUCUUAAAAGGAUGUCUUCUAGUAACAUUGCUUUUUCUGACAUCUUUGUUUCCAAGGUUCUUGGUCGGAUAUAAGAACCUUGUAUACAUACCCACAGUCUUUCUACUAAGUUCCAUAUUUUGGAUAUUUAUGACUUGGUUCAUAUUAUAUUUUCCUGAUAUGGCAGGCCCCCCUUUCUAUUUCGUCUUCCUUUUCAGCUUAGUAGCCUUUCUCUACUUCUUCUACAAGACUUGGGCAACUGAUCCUGGCUUCACUAAGACUUCUGAAGAAGAAAGGAAAGUGAAUAUCAUCACCCUUGCAGAAACUGGCUGUCUGGAUUUCAGAACAUUUUGUACAUCAUGUCUUAUAAGAAAGCCAUUAAGGUCAUUCCAUUGCCAUGUGUGCAACGCCUGCGUAGCUCGGUAUGAUCAGCACUGCGUGUGGACUGGACGGUGCGUAGGUUUUGGCAACCAUCACUAUUACAUAUUAUUCUUGUUUUUCCUGUCUGUAGCAUGUGGCUGGAUUAUGUGUGGAUCUUUCAUCUAUUGGUCAAAUCAUUGUGCCACAACAUUCCGAGAAGAUGGAUUAUGGACCUACCUCAGUCAGAUUGUGGCCUGUUCCCCUUGGGUCUUAUAUAUCUUCAUGCUAGCAACUUUUCAUUUCUCAUGGUCAACGUUUUUAUUAAUGAAUCAACUCUUUCAGAUUGCUUUUCUGGGCCUGACCUCCCAUGAGAGAAUCAGCCUGCUGAAGCAGAGCAGGCAGAUGAAACAGACACUGUCCCUCAGGAAGACACCAUACAAGCCUUUGACCACAAAGAUGAGGAGUUUGGACGGGGCCUCUGGACAGAGUCUUGAAAGGCUUGAUUGAGACAUGGACUAUGAAUGUGUCAGGUUUUGGAGGACUAGACAGGCUGCAGUAUGUAAGAUGAACUGGAAGGGACUGAGCCUUGGAUUCAAACAGAACCUGGCAGAUUUCUUUCAGUGUGGCUGCUUUGGCUUGGUGAAGCCCUGCAUGGUAGAUUGGACGUCCCAGUACACCAUGGUCUUUCAUCCAGCCAAAGAGAAGGUUCUUCGCUCCGUAUGAAGAAAAGCACCUCACAACUGUCAUUCUGAUGUGUUUUUUGUUUAUGAUGGUGCCCUGCCAAGGUUUGAAAAGGAAGUGAAGUUUAGAGUUCAUCUAAGCCCAAAGGAAAACAAAGGUGGUUUUAUGGCCAUUUGGUAAAACAGUUCUCAGUAAAGGUAUAUACUCUUUCAGGCUUAGAGAAAUGGACUAUUUCUGAAUACUCUUGGCAAACACGGUAAAAAAAAAAUUUUAAAUAAAAAAAACUUUUAUAUUUUUCACAA